AGAUCUGAAGCAGUGGAUCUUUCUGUUCAGAUAGCAAGGCUUUACACAUGUGGUACAGAUGUAGUUGUGGUAGAUAAUGCUUUCCAUGGCUCUCUUGAUUCUGUGUUUCCACUAUCACGCAAAGUGUCUAGAGAGGAAGUAGAAUGGGUUCAUGUAGUUCCAUUUGCCUGACUUGUAUCGUGGUGUUUAUCAGUCUGAUGAUCCAGAUGCAGUUGAUAAGUACCUUACUGAUACUCAUGAACAACUCAACAAAGUUCAAAGAAAUGGCAAAAAGAUUGCAUGCUUCGUUGCAGAGCCAAUGUUGACUAUACCUGGUAUCAUCAUACCACCAAGUACUUGGCUUCAAGAAAUGUAUAAGAUGGUACGAGAAUGUGGUGGCCUGUGUAUUG